rnacentral:lncRNA from 1 species
UUUGACAGGAAGACACAAGAAGAAAGAGAUUUAUGAAUUUGAACUUGGUUAAAAAAGAAAAGAGAAGGGGGGAAUGGUAGAGUUUGAACAGAAAAUAGCAGGCAGAAGACAGGGAAUGUCACAGCCGACUCAAUAAAGAGUUUGAUGUCCCAAUGUUAUCCUGAUAAUUUGGUACCAUUUUGAUUUGGAAGUUUGGGACCUCUGUCGACAAGCCUGCCUUAACAUGCACAUAUAGCUGUUUCUAAUUACUAUUCCUACCUAUAUCUCAUUUUAUUCGUUGUUUUUUUUUCUUUUCCUUUUUUUCUCCAAUAUUCUCUUUUAAAGCUGCAAUGGGUGCAUAAUAGUGCCAAACUCCAUUAUUGAAUUGGGAUUUUUAUGUGUGUACGUAUAGAUUGUUUAUGCUCUAAUAAUAACCCUUUUCAAAUUCUGAGUAUUCAUGUGAAUUGGGAGUUUUCUGCUUUUAUUUGAUGGUGAAUGGACUUGCUUGAAUCUACAUGUUUAUAACUUUAUUAAUAUGAAUGGUUCUUAGAGAAGUUUUAGGUGAACAAAAUCUUGAACAAAC